rnacentral:rRNA from 1 species
GGUUAAGCGACUAAGCGUACACGGUGGAUGCCUAGGCAGUCAGAGGCGAUGAAGGGCGUGCUAAUCUGCGAAAAGCGUCGGUAAGGUGAUAUGAACCGUUAUAACCGACGAUACCCGAAUGGGGAAACCCAGUGCAAUUCGUUGCACUAUUGCA